AUUGAACGCUGGCGGCAGGCUUAACACAUGCAAGUCGAGCGGAGUGAUGGUGCUUGCACCAUCACUUAGCGGCGAACGGGUGAGUAAUGCCUAGGAAUCUGCCGAUUAAUGGGGGACAACGUGUGGAAACGCACGCUAAUACCGCAUACGCCCUACGGGGGAAAGCAGGGGAUCUUUUAGACCUUGCGUUAAUCGAUGAGCCUAGGUCGGAUUAGCUAGUUGGUGGGGUAAAGGCCUACCAAGGCGACGAUCUGUAGCGGGUCUGAGAGGAUGAUCCGCCACACUGGAACUGAGACACAGUCCAGACUCCUACGGGAGGCAGCAGUGGGGAAUAUUGGACAAUGGGCGCAAGCCUGAUCCAGCCAUGCCGCGUGUGUGAAGAAGGCCUUUUGGUUGUAAAGCACUUUAAGCGGGGAGGAGGCUAACCUGGUUAAUACCUGGGAUUAGUGGACGUUACUCGCAGAAUAAGCACCGGCUAACUCUGUGCCAGCCGCCGCAGUAAUAC
rnacentral:rRNA from 1 species